rnacentral:rRNA from 1 species
AGCGAACGCUGGCGGCGUGCUUAACACAUGCAAGUCGAGCGAGAAAGGGGCUUUCGGGUCCUGAGUAGAGCGGCGAACGGGUGCGUAAGACGCGGGUGACCUAUCCCGGAGGCGGGGAUAACCCUCCGAAAGGAGGGCUAAUACCGGAUGUGCCUUGUUGUGGAAACAGAGCAAGGCAAAGGGCGCUUUCGAAUGGAGGUGUUCCCUACGGGAGGGGCCCACGGCCUAUCAGCUAGUUGGUGUGGUAACGGCGCACCAAGGCGACGACGGGUAGCUGGUCUGAGAGGAUGGCCAGCCACACGGGGACUGAGACACGGCCCCGACUCCUACGGGAGGCAGCAGUGGGGAAUAUUGGGCAAUGGGCGCAAGCCUGACCCAGCGACGCCGCGUGGGUGAUGAAGGCCUUCGGGUCGUAAAGCCCUGUCGGGUGGAAAGAACGAUUUGGGGGGGAAGAACCCUCAGAUGUGACGGUACCACCGAAGGAAGCACCGGCCAAUUCCGUGCCAGCAGCCGCGGUAAGACGGAAGGUGCAAGCGUUGCUCGGAAUCACUGGGCGUAAAGGGUGCGUAGGCGGCUUGGUAAGUCUGGUGUGAAAGCCCAGGGCUCAGCCUUGGAAGGGCGCUAGAAACUGCCGAGCUGGAGUGCCGGAGGGGAGAGUGGAAUUCCUGGUGUAGCGGUGAAAUGCGUAGAUAUCAGGAGGAAUACCGGUGGCGAAAGCGACUCUCUGGACGGCAACUGACGCUGAGGCACGAAAGCGUGGGGAGCAAACAGGAUUAGAUACCCUGGUAGUCCACGCCGUAAACGAUGGGCACUAGGUGUCGGGGGUAACCACUCCCUCGGUGCCGCCGCUAACGCAUUAAGUGUCCCGCCUGGGAAGUACGGUCGCAAGAUUA